GCGCAGCAGGCGCGAAAAACUUUACAAUGUGCGAAAGCACGAUAAGGGAACUCUGAGUGCCUCCUAAGGAGGCUGUUCAGGUGUCUAAAAAGCACCUGGAGUAAGGGCUGGGUAAGACCGGUGCCAGCCGCCGCGGUAACACCGGCAGCCCAGGUGGUAGCCACUUUUAUUGGGUCUAAAGCGUCCGUAGCCGGUUGAGUAAGUUCCUUGGGAAAUUUGGCUGCUCAACAGUCAAGCUUCCAGGGAAUACUGCUCGACUUGGGACUGGGAGAGGUCAGAGGUACUCCAGGGGUAGGGGUGAAAUCCAUUAAUCCCUGGGGGACCACCGGUAGCGAAGGCGUCUGACCAGACCAGGUCCGACGGUGAGGGACGAAGGCUAGGGGCGCGAACCGGAUUAGAUACCCCGGUAGU
rnacentral:rRNA from 1 species